AUAAAUACGCAUUAUUUCCCUUUUAUCUCCGACUACCGCCAUAUUCGUUGUCGAUUUCUAUUGUUCUGCUCAUCGCUACACACCCCCUAUAUAAGGCCGAAAGCACUAUUCAUGCUUCACCGCAUUCAGGUAUUUCAUUCACCCGAACACGUUACCUUGGACGAAAAGACGUGUAGAAACGCGUUUUGAACAAAAAUAAUAUGACAACCUCUGCACUGGCAAGGAAUAUCCAAUGAGCGACGAAACAAGACAAACUGAAAUCCAGACACAGAUACUUCAAAAAUCCUCGAUAAUAGUAGACCGUUUUCCUGUGUAUGUUAUAACAUUGCACAUGUGCAAUCACACACUGUGGCAGAUCGAGCAUUGUCAAUAAUCGCAUGGAUUUUUUUUUUGUAGAAACCGAUGGAAACGAUUUUACGUUCAACUUGUUACUUUCUUGGAUUUACUAUCAUUCAUCUACUGUGUUAGAUGCAGUGCCGCCGGGGUUUUCAAAAAGAUGCAGACGUUAUGCACUCUGUAUGAACGACAUACGUGUUCGAUGUGCAUGUGAAGUAAGGCAGCACUAUUCGUGCAAAAUAGUACGGAUACCUUGGAAAUUCUUUCAAAGAAUAAAUAUACAUGGGUUUUUUUUGUAUUUUAUUGACUGCUGUUUCCUUUAUUAUUUACUACAACGAUUUUACUACAAUAUGUAGUUCAUGCAUUUAGAAGUCCGUGUAACCUGAAUGCCUCGAUCGGAAAGCAACCGACCGUAACUUUCUCGACCGGUAUAUAUACCCCAGUGGUAGUAGAGGAGCGAUCAAAACUAAUAUGGCGACCAGACACUUUUAUGAGUUCAUGUCAGCUUUAAGAUACGGAAAGACAACUGGCUUGACCUGAAAAGUUGCAGUAUCUGUGUGAUAUAAUUAUGGAAGAAGGAUUUUGCACAUGGUUCAUACCCCCUAUGUUGAAGGAUCCCUUCAUUGGAGGAGGCUGCAUUGUUGACAGCAGUAAAAGAUUUGGAAGAAGGAGAACAUGGAAUGUUCUGCUGGGUGACACUUGCUGUGCUUGAUACCUAAUUCUCCCCAAGCCAUAUUUCAUGAGGCCUACAAACUGCAGCCAAGGAGAAAUUUAUUCAAACAUGCAUACCAAGAUCAGAAGUGAAAUUGAGAGGUUCUUUUGUUUGCAUAAGAUUUGCAUGAUACAGGAAUUAACUGCCUGCAUUGUUAAUUGAAGAGGACUUGGAGAGACUGAGAAAGAUGCAUGAGUAUUUGACAACAACCAACCUCUAAGCCUCAAACACCAUGCACCAAGAGAAGGAGAACAAUUAUUGUGACAUUUAAUCUAAUGUCUACAUCCUAAUUUAUAAUUAUAAUACAAAAUAGCCAAAAAAAAUUGAAUUU